CAGUGAGGAAUAUUGCGACAAUGGGGGAAACCCUGACGCAGCGACGCCGCGUGGAUGAUGAAGGCCUUCGGGUCGUAAAAUCCUGUCAGAUGGGAAGAAAUGCCAUUCAGUUAAUAUCUGUUUGGUUUGACGGUACCAUCAAAGGAAGCACCGGCUAACUCCGUGCCAGCAGCCGCGGUAAUACGGAGGGUGCAAGCGUUGUUCGGAAUUACUGGGCGUAAAGCGCGCGUAGGCGGCUUGUUAAGUCAGAUGUGAAAGUCCACGGCUCAACCGUGGAAGUGCAUUUGAUACUGGCAAGCUUGAGUACUGGAGGGGAUGGUGGAAUUCCCGGUGUAGAGGUGAAAUUCGUAGAUAUCGGGAGGAAUACCGGUGGCGAAGGCGACCAUCUGGCCAGAUACUGACGCUGAGGUGCGAAAGCGUG
rnacentral:rRNA from 1 species